rnacentral:rRNA from 1 species
GACGAACGCUGGCGGCGUGCUUAACACAUGCAAGUCGAGCGAGGCCCCUCCUUCGGGAGGGUGUCCUAGCGGCGAACGGGUGAGUAACGCGUGGGCAACCUGCCCUCAGCUCUGGGAUAACUCCAAGAAAUUGGGGCUAAUACCGGAUAUGACCGCUGACCGCAUGGUCUGGUGGUGGAAAGAUUUAUCGGCUGAGGAUGGGCCCGCGGCCUAUCAGCUUGUUGGUGGGGUAGUGGCCUACCAAGGCGACGACGGGUAGCCGGCCUGAGAGGGUGACCGGCCACACUGGGACUGAGACACGGCCCAGACUCCUACGGGAGGCAGCAGUGGGGAAUAUUGCGCAAUGGGCGGAAGCCUGACGCAGCGACGCCGCGUGGGGGAUGACGGCCUUCGGGUUGUAAACCUCUUUCAGCAGGGACGAAGCCGCAAGGUGACGGUACCUGCAGAAGAAGCACCGGCCAACUACGUGCCAGCCGCCGCCGUAAGAC